AAUGAUCUGGUUCUUCUGGGUGAGGCUGGAGAGCAUGUGGCACUCCAAGAUGCAACAUAACAGGACUGUAGAAAAUGACUCAAUAAUGCAGGAGAUUGUGACCAUGCUCAGCUUCGACGGAAGUGAACACGGGUGGGCUCUGAUUAGUAAAGGAUCAGGGGAUCAGGAUCAAAUGACAAAGGCAAAAGGGGCUGAUAUCUUGGAGACCUUUGAUGCCCUUCAGUCAUGGAAGCACAUUGCAGAUGAAAGGGGAUUUGUGACUGCACUUAAUGACAACCUCCGUGGGCGCCAUAAUCCACAUCACUGCAACAGAUUGAUUCUGUCAGGGACUAUAGGAAGCAUCCCUGAAAUGAUAGUGUGCGCUGAUUGCAACCGCCCCAUGGAGAGGUUCAUCAUGUACCGCUGUUGCAAUGAUUAAGCCUAUGUUUAAUUAAUCUAAUGCUGUGUGCUAUGGCGAUAUAUAUGGUUUGAACUGUGAAUGGAUUGGGAUUUAAUAGCUGUUGUAGCCUUUAGUUGCUUGUUUACUUCUGCUGUUGUAUAAUUAAGAUGUUGAGCAAGCAGGGGGAAAACUGCUAUGUCUUUGCAUUUGUGUUCUUUCCGUUCAAGUAUUUUCAAUUAAGCGAAAUUAUUAAUUAGUUUUCCUUUACUUUCCUGUUACUCUUCAACUUUAACUUAAUUAUUGAAGAGUGAACUAUUCUCGAGGCUCUUGUUGUGC
rnacentral:misc_RNA from 1 species